AGUGAACGCUGGCGGUAGGCCUAACACAUGCAAGUCGAACGGCAGCACAGUAAGAGCUUGCUCUUACGGGUGGCGAGUGGCGGACGGGUGAGGAAUACAUCGGAAUCUACUUUUUCGUGGGGGAUAACGUAGGGAAACUUACGCUAAUACCGCAUACGACCUACGGGUGAAAGCAGGGGAUCUUCGGACCUUGCGCAAUUGAAUGAGCCGAUGUCGGAUUAGCUAGUUGGCGGGGUAAAGGCCCACCAAGGCGACGAUCCGUAGCUGGUCUGAGAGGAUGAUCAGCCACACUGGAACUGAGACACGGUCCAGACUCCUACGGGAGGCAGCAGUGGGGAAUAUUGGACAAUGGGCGCAAGCCUGAUCCAGCCAUACCGCGUGGGUGAAGAAGGCCUUCGGGUUGUAAAGCCUUUUUGUUGGGAAAGAAAAGCAGCAGGUUAAUACCCCGCUGUUCUGACGGUACCCAAAGAAUAAGCACCGGCUAACUUCGUG
rnacentral:rRNA from 1 species